rnacentral:rRNA from 1 species
UACGUAGGGUGCAGGCGUUAAUCGGAAUUACUGGGCGUAAAGCGUGCGCAGGCGGCUUCUCAAGUCAGAUGUGAAAUCCCCGGGCUUAACCUGGGAACUGCGUUGGAGACUGCAAGGCUGGAGUCUGGCAGAGGGGGGUAGAAUUCCACGUGUAGCAGUGAAAUGCGUAGAGAUGUGGAGGAACACCUAUAGCGAAGGCAGCUUACUAGGCUGUAACUGACGCUGAGGCACGAAAGUGUGGGGAUCAAACAGG